CGAGCUGAAGGCAGACGCUUAACGACUGAGCCACCCAGGCGCCCCGGGAAACUAGAUUUUCUAAUGUGGGUGGUGAGGGAGAGAAACGGAGAUAUCAGGGAUACCCCCAGCGUGUUUGAUCUUUGCAGCUGUAGGAAUGGAAGUUCCAACUGAGAGGGGGGAAGUUGGUAGUAGGAAUAAUAUUCACCGGGGAUAUUAGGAGCUUUGUUUUGGCCAUGUUUAGAUUCUGAGGUAUUUCAGAGACCGCUGAGUGGAGGCAUCAGAUUGGCAGCUGGAAACACAAGUUGAGAAAUCAAAAGAGUGGUUCAAAUUGGAGACAUUCAAAAUGUGGUAUUUACUGUGUGGACCCACGUAAGUAACCUGUCGUUAUAUUUAGGAGGUAUAAUCUUCUUGUUAACUGGCGUGAAGAUGUUCAUAGGCCAGGAAAUAGAGGGUAGGGGCUGAGCACUGGGUCUCUCACUUGAGUACCUGAGUGACGGUAUUGUAAUUCAUAAAUGCUGGUGAGGGAGGUAUGUGUGCUUAAAGGUAGGGUGUAUUAGACAGACUAGUCUAGGAGGUGGCCAAGGCUUAAGAUAAGAAUGGACAUGAGAGAGAUGCAGAGACAAGGGGUAGUUGAGGCAAGAUGUCAUUCAGGCCAAAGCUCUUGCUUAUUCAUGUCUCUGUGGAUUCACAAUGGGCACAUUUCGGCUGUUUCUUCACCAGUCUUGACACUUGGCCUACUUGUCAACUCUACAUGUCACUUCUGCUCUUAAACCCUUUGCGGGACCAGUCCCUACCUCUCUGGACUCCACGUCUUAACCUGCUUUUCUCACUGCUCCAUCUGCAGUGCUUCCCAGCAGUGACCUCUACAUAUUUUGUCAUGAGGUGUGCAUAUAUCUUCAAAUAGUCCUUGAACAUGAGCAACUCUGUUGCAUUUGGAUUUUCUUGGUUCUGGACAUACCCUUCCACAUAGUGGUCAUAUGUCACCAGGAAACAAGAGCUGGCUGGAAGUUAUUUGCAGAAAAACAGGUUAUAGACCCUGCUCUCCUCCACGUGUCACACGUUAUAGUUGCGUCCUUCACCAUUUGAGACCUUCCCCGUUUUAUGCUCUUUAUUUCCCUGGAGCAGAGGCUCUCUGUCCUCAACCUGAAACGAAACAGUUCUGGUUCUGCCGACAAUCGCAUGGACUUGUCCUGGGUUUGGGAAAAACAUUCUUGUGUAUGGGUGGUCCCCUCCAACCAGAGUCAACAUGGACUCCUCCAGCAUUUUAUUUCUUUCAGGUUGUUGGUGUGGAGCACAUAACGAGGAGGCACCUUUUGAGCAGAGCAUUUCUGUAGGAGUGUCACGGGUCAGGACUCCAAGGCAGGUUCAGAGGCAAGGUGCCAGGAGGAGCAAUCAUGUGAUAAAGGAUUAGAACUUUCAGUCCCUAUUCCCAACACCCUACCUUCAGGGAAGGAGAGAAGCUGGAGGUUGCAUCAUCCAAUGGCCCGUGACUUAGGCAAUCAUGACUUUGUAAUAAAGCCUUCAUACAGACCCAAGAGGACAGUCUUUUGGUCCUUUUGGAGAGGUUUCACACUUGGAGAACCAGGACGUUUCCAUGUGCCACCAAGCCAGGCCCUAAGCUCCAUGAGAACAGAAGGACCUCAUUGAGUGAUGUAAGAAUUCUGGAGAUGGAUAGUCUUGACAGUUGCACUACAGUGUGAAUGCACUUACUGCCACUGAAUUGUACAAUUAAAAUGGUUAAAAUGGUAAA